rnacentral:rRNA from 1 species
AGCGGUUUAAGUCCUAUCAGCUAGUUGGUGAGGUAACGGCUCACCAAGGCUUUGACGGGUAGCUGGUCUGAGAGGACGACCAGCCACACUGGAACUGAAACACGGUCCAGACUCCUACGGGAGGCAGCAGUUAGGAAUUUUGCGCAAUGGACGAAGGUCUGACGCAGCAACGCCGCGUGAGUGAUGAAGGCCUUCGGGUCGUAAAGCUCUUUUAGUUGGAACGAAAUAAAUGACGGUACCAGCAGAAAAAGCACCGGCUAACCCUGUGCCAGCAGCCGCGGUAAUACAGGGGGCGCAAGCGUUACUCGGAUUUACUGGGCGUAAAGAGCGUGUAGGUGGUUUGUUAAGUCUGAUGUGAAAGCCCUGGGCUUAAUCCAGGAAGUGCAUUGGAUACUGGCAGACUAGAGUACAGGAGGGGUGAGCGGAAUUCCCGGUGUAGAGGUGAAAUUCGUAGAUAUCGGGAGGAACAACAGAGGCGAAGGCGGCUCACUGGACUGUUACUGACACUAAGGCGCGAAAGCGUGGGGAGCAAACAGGAUUAGAU